GCAUAUCAAUAAGCGGAGGAAAAGAAACCAACAGGGAUUGCCCUAGUAACGGCGAGUGAAGCGGCAACAGCUCAAAUUUGAAAUCUGGCUCUCUUUGGGGGUCCGAGUUGUAAUUUGCAGAGGAUGCUUUGGCAUUGGCGGCGGUCUAAGUUCCUUGGAACAGGACAUCGCAGAGGGUGAGAAUCCCGUACGUGGGCGCCUGCCUUUGCCGUGUAAAGCUCCUUCGACGAGUCGAGUUGUUUGGGAAUGCAGCUCUAAAUGGGAGGUAAAUUUCUUCUAAAGCUAAAUACCGGCCAGAGACCGAUAGCGCACAAGUAGAGUGAUCGAAAGAUGAAAAGUACUUUGGAAAGAGAGUCAAAAAGCACGUGAAAUUGUUGAAAGGGAAGCGCUUGCAGCCAGACUUGCCCGCAGUUGCUCACCUAGGCUUUGGCCUGGGGCACUCUUCUGCGGGCAGGCCAGCAUCAGUUUGGGCGGUCGGACAAAGGCCUCUGUCAAGUAUCUCCCUUCGGGGUGACCUUAUAGGGGAGGCGUAAUGCGACCAGCCCGGACUGAGGUCCGCGCAUCUGCUAGGAUGCUGGCGUAAUGGCUGUAAGCGGCCCGUCUUGAAACACGGACCAAGGAGUCUAACAUCUAUGCGAGUGUUUGGGUGUCAAGCCCGGGCGCGCAAUGAAAGUGAACGGAGGUGGGAACCCUUUGGGUGCACCAUCGACCGAUCCUGAUGUCUUCGGAUGGAUUUGAGUAAGAGCAUAGCUGUUGGGACCCGAAAGAUGGUGAACUAUGCUUGAAUAGGGUGAAGCCAGAGGAAACUCUGGUGGAGGCUCGCAGCGGUUCUGACGUGCAAAUCGAUCGUCAAAUUUGGGCAUAGGGGCGAAAGACUAAUCGAACCAUCUAGUAGCUGGUUCCUGCCGAA
rnacentral:rRNA from 1 species